rnacentral:rRNA from 1 species
AACGAACGCUGGCGGCAGGCUCAACACAUGCAAGUCGAGCGCCCCGCAAGGGGAGCGGCAGACGGGUGAGUAACGCGUGGGAAUCUACCCAUCUCUACGGAAUAACGCAUGGAAACGUGUGCUAAUACCGUAUACGUCCUUUGGGAGAAAGAUUUAUCGGAGAUGGAUGAGCCCGCGUUGGAUUAGCUAGUUGGUGGGGUAAAGGCCUACCAAGGCGACGAUCCAUAGCUGGUCUGAGAGGAUGAUCAGCCACACUGGGACUGAGACACGGCCCAGACUCCUACGGGAGGCAGCAGUGGGGAAUAUUGGACAAUGGGCGCAAGCCUGAUCCAGCCAUGCCGCGUGAGUGAUGAAGGCCCUAGGGUUGUAAAGCUCUUUCACCGGUGAAGAUAAUGACGGUAACCGGAGAAGAAGCCCCGGCUAACUUCGUGCCAGCAGCCGCCGCAGUAA